UAGGGAAUCUUCGGCAAUGGGGGCAACCCUGACCGAGCACCGCCUCGUGAGUGAAGAAGGUUUUCGGAUCGUAAAGCUCUGUUGUAAGAGAAGAACGUGUGUGAGAGUGGAAAGUUCACACAGUGACGGUAACUUCCCAGAAAGGGACGGCUAACGACGUGCCAGCAGCCGCGGUAAUACGUAGGUCCCGAGCGUUGUCCGGAUUUAUUGGGCGUAAAGCGAGCGCAGGCGGUUUAAUAAGUCUGAAGUUAAAGGCAGUGGCUUAACCAUUGUUCGCUUUGGAAACUGUUAAACUUGAGUGCAGAAGGGGAGAGUGGAAUUCCAUGUGUAGCGGUGAAAUGCGUAGAUAUAUGGAGGAACACCGGUGGCGAAAGCGGCUCUCUGGUCUGUAACUGACGCUGAGGCUCGAAAGCGUGGGGAGCAAACAGG
rnacentral:rRNA from 1 species